rnacentral:piRNA from 1 species
GUGUGUGUAAACGUGUUAUCAGUAUGU